AAGGAAUAUUGGACAAUGGGCGGAAGCCUGAUCCAGCCAUCCCGCGUGCAGGAUGACGGCCCUAUGGGUUGUAAACUGCUUUAGAAUGGGAAGAAAGUUAUGGUUUUAACUGUAAUUGACGGUACCAUUAGAAUAAGCACCGGCUAACUCCGUGCCAGCAGCCGCGGUAAUACGGAGGGUGCAAGCGUUAUCCGGAAUUACUGGGUUUAAAGGGUGCGUAGGCGGCUUUAUAAGUCAGAGGUGAAAGCUUGCCGCUUAACGGUAAAAUUGCCUUGGAUACUGUAGAGCUUGAAAGAGGUUGAGGUCAGCAGAAUGUGGCAUGUAGCGGUGAAAUGCAUAGAUAUGCCAUAGAACACCGAUUGCGAAGGCAGCUGACUGGGCCUACUUUGACGCUGAGGCACGAAAGCGUGGGGAGCGAAC
rnacentral:rRNA from 1 species